UAAUUUGCAUGGCAUUUGUGCCUGUCUGAAUAUUAGCUCCUGUUGUGUGUCAGCUACUGUAUUCUUUUUUUUUCUUGUGUGAAUUUGAAAAACCAAUAGAUUUACCCUUUGCUUGAGCAGUGUCGAGAUAAGGAAUUUAGUAGGGUAACCAAAAAUCUUUAUGGACCCGCUGCUGGAAUCGUGGUGGAUUUCAUUUGAACAAAAGGGGGGACAGAGAAUCUUGUGGGAUGAUGUGAUUUGCGAACCACUUGUUUCAUUGUUUGGUUAAAUGGGAUAUUUUCAAAUCAUUUUACUAAUUGUUGAUAAGAUGGUUUUAUAUGUAUAAAACACAGAUAUUAUUCAUGUCCAUAGAUAAGUAAUACUAUUUCAGUUAUUUGUGCAUUGUCGAGCAAUGAUUCCCCACUAAUCAUGUCUUGUCAUUACAUCACUAUCAUUCCUAGUAGAUUUAGAGGUUUUUGUGCAUCUGGACCCAUGUUUAUGUAUUGACGGUGAUAGAGAGGAAGCUUGUCAUUAUCCUUAACUUUAUGAUCUUUUGCCACUGAAAUCGACUGAUUAUAAUUUGCUCAACAAUGUCAAUUUGAUGAUUAUCAAAAAGCAUGGCCAUUAUGUAGUAUCUGUUACCUUGUUCAUAUCCUUCAAUCUUGUGAGUUAGACUUGAGUUUACCUUUCUGGUUGUGGCUGGAGAAUUAGAAUUAGUACUUUUGGUGCCAAACAAGUUCAGCUUUCAGCAACAGCGUGCUGCUUUUGUGUAUUGAUUUGAGUUGGGAAAUGCCCUAGGUCUGUUAUUAGGAAUUUGUUGUUGACUGAGCCCAAGUCCUCAGCCAAACUAGUUGCGGUCUGCUUUAUGGGUCUUUUGUUCUUACCAACAAUUAGAUGCAACUUUCAUUUACGUAAAACAUGGAGCUGAAGCAAAAGAGAAAAAUUGUGUGGAAUAUAAGGAAACCCUACAACUGACCGGAAAAUUAAGACUUGGAAAACAAAUGUCAAUUUAGGGCGUUCGAGGUUUCUCUUUAAACACAUGCUUACUGGGAUAUUUAUGAAUCCUAGUCAAGAUCUUCAUGCACAGCAGAAUUUUACAAGUGAGGAUAUCAUGCACAAAGUGCAUUAUUGCCUAGUAGGACUUAGAAUUUGAAUGCAUGUGGUGUGGUGGAUAGAUCUCAAGGAAACGUGAUCUACAAUUUGGAAGUUUAUACCUCUGCAACAAAGUCCUCUCGAGGAGCACUGGGACGCCUUUUUAUUGCCACUGUAGUAUCUUGAAGCAAACCUUUAUAUACUGACCCAAAACUUCCAUAUCCGAUGAGAUUGCUUUCACUAAAUUGCUUGGUAGCUUGCUCCAACUCAUCCAUUGUGAAUGCUCUAGCCCCUUGUGACCCAAAUAGAGGACGGCCAGGUGCUGAACUGCAUUGACCUCCCCUAUUCCACUCCACUGCCACAAGUUAGAAAGAGAAACAGUGAAUAUCACUGGAAAAGCAAUAACAAUUUCUCCAUGUUCUGUCCCUUGAGGAACAUUACCUACUGCAUAUGGAUCUGAAGAACCUGUUUCUGAGUUUUUGUUUGAAAAGUUCUUACAGUGUGACUUGCAGAACCACAAUAUGAUGAAUAUUGCAACAAGUGCCACUCCAGCAGCACCUCCUACUAUUGCAGCGUAUGGCUUUGACAUGAGGAACAGUCUUAGUGUCUACUUCAACAAAUUCAAACAAUGAAACUGCACAGAGCCAGCUCUCACAAAUUAGAGUGUGUAAACAACCAAAAAUUUGUCACGAUAUUAAGGAUGCAAGAGGAGACUUUUUUGCAAUUGGAGACCAGAUUUUGUAAGUUGGAACUCUUAAUUUCAAUACCAGUAACAGCAACCACUGAUCAAGUUGUCUUUUCUAUUGGAUUUCCUCUUGUUUACAGGGGGCAACAGGACUUUGAAGAACUUUAGCUGUGACAAGUAUUUAGGAAAACAACUGGCUGAUCUCAAGUAUCCACUAGCAAAACAGAUAUGCUUGGCAAGGUUCAAUGCCAGUAAAGUCUGAGUAAGAUAAUAGUAGAUAACUCAUUUCUUUUUCCAAGUACCCCCACUUUGAGCACCUCCAAAAAAAUUGACAUUAGAGAAGCCGUACACCGAAGAACAUCCUAUGUUUUGCUCUUUGCCAACUCAAACACUCUUUGUAUUUGAUUUCAUGGGAAAGGGGCUAAUAUUGGAGGAAAGUAGAAAACAUAGGCUACUACUGCUGAUAGACCUCAUGCUGGUUUAUAUUUGGCAUUGCUUGCAGAAAGAGUCUCUCAAGAAUUAAGCCCCCAAGGAGGAGGAAGAGAUUUUAGUGCAUGGGAAGAAGUUGUUUUAUGAUGACCACUACACUCAUUCAUUCAUGGUGACAUAUUUGGACAUACAUUGGGUUGGUUAAUCUCUCUAGCUGCUUUAUUUGGAAUCUCUCUACCAAAAAAAUCAAUGGCCCAUGUGGGUUGUUUAUUUUCAUACAGUAAAAAUUUUUGGUUUUUACCAUGAAUAUUUGGACAUGAAAACGACAUUAUUUGGGCAGGCACUGGAAGACAUAAUUAUUGAAAGGAUCAAAGAAAAGGUAGUUAUCACUCUGUCAAUUUCAAGCCUCUUCCCUGAAUUCACUCUUAUCUUCCUUUUUGCCUCUUUUUUGCCAUCUGAUCUGGAAAGAAAAGAGGGAUUCUGAUUUUGGUAUAGAGAGAUGGGACUUCUCAUCCUCAGAUGGGGUCUAUGACAACCGGGCCAACAAGACAUUACAACAGCAAUUCAGCAGGUACUCAGUUUCCAUGGCUAGAUGUUCUUGGUUUGAUGUUCCCUAAGAAUAAACGUUAGCUAUUCUGGGAAAAUGAACUGUUGGGUUUUCUCCUCUACUUGCUUGCUUCUGUAUUUAUUUAUUUCUUGCACAUAUAUGAUUGAGUUAUGAGUUGUAACCAUGAUAGUGAAGAUCACUAAGCUGUAAGUCUGUCUCUUUCUCAUUUAUUCGGUUUGUUUUCUUUCCUCAACUUGUUAUGUUAUGGGUUGGGCUGGAAAGUAAAAGAGAAAGCUAGAAAGCAACUUGUCAUGUAGUGCAAGUCAUUAGACUCAAGUAUAAAAGGCCCAUGUUAGGGACAAAGGGGGAAAGGAGCUGGGAAAGAUGGAUUCAAAACUGGGUAUAGCAAGCAAGUUAUGGUGCUUAUGCAUGGCCCUGAUUGCAAAUGCUUGUUCUUUUCUUAUAGGGGUGAACUUGUUUGUUUUCUUCAUUGUAUGAAACCUACCAUACACAAAAUUUAAUAAUAACAAAAAUGUCUCUCAUGGUGAAAUAUAA